rnacentral:rRNA from 1 species
UACGGGGGGAGCAAGCGUUGUUCGGAUUUACUGGGCGUAAAGGGCGCGUAGGCGGCCUCCGCAAGUCGACUGUGAAAUCUCCGGGCUUAACUCGGAAAGGUCAGCCGAUACUGCGGGGCUAGAGUGCAGAAGGGGCAACUGGAAUUCUCGGUGUAGCGGUGAAAUGCGUAGAUAUCGAGAGGAACACCAGUGGCGAAGGCGAGUCUCUGGACAUUUCCUGACGCUGAGGCACGAAAGCCAGGGGAGCAAACGGG